GAAAUAUUAUUAAAAUUUAAACUUCUAAUUUAAAUAAAAGUGAAUUCAAUCAUUUAUAUUUCU
rnacentral:tRNA from 1 species